GGUAUUUCUUUUAAAUCAGUGACAACAAAUCAUUAUUAUACCUGUUUCGUGUAGGGCCGGCCUGCUUUCAGGUGAAUUUUGAAAAUGCAGAUUUUUAUAAUGACAUGGGAAAGCAGGACUAUUACUAUAGAAGUUCAUACUUCAGAUACUAUUGGAAAUGUAAAAUCUAAAAUUCAGAAUCACCAAGGUAUUCCAACAGAUCACCAACAUUUGCUCUAUAAUGGAAAAGAAUUAGAAGAUGACAAAACACUUUUUGCCUAUGAAAUUGAAAACAAGACAACACUUUUCUUAGUUUAUCGACUGCCAGGUGGUAUGAAGAUUUCUCAGAAAACUCUAAUGAGUUAAAUGUUGAAAUAUCAAACAAUCUAAAAGUAAACAUUAAAUACAAAGAAUACAUUCUAUUAUAUGAACAGCAUUUGAUCAAUUAAACAAUCAAAUGAAGAAGUUAGUACUUCUCUGAUGUCAUAUCAAUACAUUGUUAAUCAUAUAAAUUCGAUGUGUAUAAUUAACUGUAGUAAAUUAACCAAAAUAAA
rnacentral:lncRNA from 1 species